rnacentral:rRNA from 1 species
UGGGGAAUAUUGGACAAUGGGCGCAAGCCUGAUCCAGCCAUGCCGCGUGAGUGAUGAAGGCCCUAGGGUUGUAAAGCCCUUUCACCGGUGAAGAUAAUGACGGUAACCGGAGAAGAAGCCCCGGCUAACUUCGUGCCAGCAGCCGCGGUAAUACGAAGGGGGCUAGCGUUGUUCGGAUUUACUGGGCGUAAAGCGCACGUAGGCGGACUAUUAAGUCAGGGGUGAAAUCCCGGGGCUCAACCCCGGAACUGCCUUUGAUACUGGUAGUCUUGAGUUCGAGAGAGGUGAGUGGAAUUCCGAGUGUAGAGGUGAAAUUCGUAGAUAUUCGGAGGAACACCAGUGGCGAAGGCGGCUCACUGGCUCGAUACUGACGCUGAGGUGCGAAAGCGUGGGGAGCAAACAGG